UCCCUGGUGGCUCAGAGGUUAAAGCGUCUGCCUCCAGUGCGGGAGAUCCGGGUUUGAUCCCUGGGUCGGGAA
rnacentral:tRNA from 1 species